UAGAGAUAGCUGGUUAUUCAAGAAACGGAUAUAGUCCAAUUUUAAACCUCCAAAUAUCACUAAAUACACCACAGCUUUAAAAUUUAUUCAAAUAAGGUACAGCCUAUUUGAAACAGGAUACAACCUACUCAACAGGGUAAUGCUCUGUCAACAUGACUAAGUUGGCCUAAAAGCAGCCAUCUUUCAAAAAGCGUCAUAGCUUAACCAUUCGACAUCACCAAUUAUUACUAAAACUCAAAACCCUUCUCCCCUAUUGAAUGAAUCUAUACCCUUAUAGAAAACCUUAUGUUAGAACUAGUAAUAAGAAAAAUUUUCUCCUUAAAGCACGUGUAAGCCAGAAUGAACCACUCCCUGACACUUACCGCCACAAACAGUAUUAACCCUGCAAGAAAAAUUUACUCUUUCUAAUCGUUAACCUCACGCCAGAGCUUUACCGGAAGAUUAAAAAAGAGGGAAGGAACUCGGCAAAAAAUAACUCCGCCUGUUUACCAA
rnacentral:rRNA from 1 species